CAGUAGCCGCGGUAAUACAGAGGGUGCGAGCGUUAAUCGGAUUUACUGGGUUUAAAGGGUGCGUAGGCGGAUCUGUAAGUCAGUGGUGAAAUCUCCAGGCUUAACCUGGAAACUGCCGUUGAUACUAUAGGUCUUGAAUUUUGUGGAGGUUAGCGGAAUAUGUCAUGUAGCGGUGAAAUGCAUAGAUAUGACAUAGAACACCAAUUGCGAAGGCAGCUGGCUACACAACUAUUGACGCUGAGGCACGAAAGCGUGGGGAUCAAACAGGAUUAGAUACCCCAGUAGUCCCUGUCUCUUAUAC
rnacentral:rRNA from 1 species